ACCGACGGGAGCUUGCUCCCUUAGGUUAGCGGCGGACGGGUGAGUAACACGUGGGUAACCUGCCUGUAAGACUGGGAUAACUCCGGGAAACCGGGGCUAAUACCGGAUGCUUGAUUGAACCGCAUGGUUCAAUUAUAAAAGGUGGCUUUUAGCUACCACUUACAGAUGGACCCGCGGCGCAUUAGCUAGUUGGUGAGGUAACGGCUCACCAAGGCGACGAUGCGUAGCCGACCUGAGAGGGUGAUCGGCCACACUGGGACUGAGACACGGCCCAGACUCCUACGGGAGGCAGCAGUAGGGAAUCUUCCGCAAUGGACGAAAGUCUGACGGAGCAACGCCGCGUGAGUGAUGAAGGUUUUCGGAUCGUAAAACUCUGUUGUUAGGGAAGAACAAGUACCGUUCGAACAGGGCGGUGACCUUGACGGUACCUAACCAGAAAGCCACGGCUAACUACGUGCCAGCAGCCGCGGUAAUACGUAGGUGGCAAGCGUUGUCCGGAAUUAUUGGGCGUAAAGCGCGCGCAGGCGGUUUCUUAAGUCUGAUGUGAAAGCCCCCGGCUCAACCGGGGAGGGUCAUUGGAAACUGGGGAACUUGAGUGCAGAAGAGGAGAGUGGAAUUCCACGUGUAGCGGUGAAAUGCGUAGAGAUGUGGAGGAACACCAGUGGCGAAGGCGACUCUCUGGUCUGUAACUGACGCUGAGGCGCGAAAGCGUGGGGAGCGAACAGGAUUAGAUACCCUGGUAGUCCACGCCGUAAACGAUGAGUGCUAAGUGUUAGAGGGUUUCCGCCCUUUAGUGCUGCAGCAAACGCAUUAAGCACUCCGCCUGGGGAGUACGGUCGCAAGACUGAAACUCAAAGGAAUUGACGGGGGCCCGCACAAGCGGUGGAGCAUGUGUGUUUAAUUCGAAGCAACGCGAAGAACCUUACCAGGUCUUGACAUCCUCUGACACCCCUAGAGAUAGGGCUUCCCCUUCGGGGGCAGAGUGACAGGUGGUGCAUGGUUGUCGUCAGCUCGUGUCGUGAGAUGUUGGGUUAAGUCCCGCAACGAGCGCAACCCUUGAUCUUAGUUGCCAGCAUUCAGUUGGGCACUCUAAGGUGACUGCCGGUGACAAACCGGAGGAAGGUGGGGAUGACGUCAAAUCAUCAUGCCCCUUAUGACCUGGGCUACACACGUGCUACAAUGGGCAGAACAAAGGGCAGCGAAGCCGCGAGGCUAAGCCAAUCCCACAAAUCUG
rnacentral:rRNA from 1 species